CUAUGAGGACAGGUGUGUAUAAAUGUAUAUCCUAUGAGGACAGGUGUGUAUGAAGGUGUAUCCUAUGAGGACAGGUGUGUAUGAAGGUAUAUCCUAUGAGGAAAGGUGUGUAUGAAGGUAUAUCCUAUGAGGACAGGUGUGUAUAAAUGUAUAUCCUAUGAGGACAGGUGUGUAUGAAGGUAUAUCCUAUGAGGACAGGUGUGUAUGAAGGUAUAUCCUAUGAGGACAGGUGUGUAUGAAGGUAUAUCCUAUGAGGACAGGUGUGUAUAAAUGUAUAUCCUAUGAGGACAGGUGUGUAUGAAGGUAUAUCCUAUGAGGACAGGUGUGUAUGAAGGUAUAUCCUAUGAGGACAGGUGUGUAUGAAGGUAUAUCCUAUGAGGACAGGUGUGUAUGAAGGUAUAUCCUAUGAGGACAGGUGUGUAUAAAUGUAUAUCCUAUGAGGACAGGUGUGUAUGAAGGUAUAUCCUAUGAGGACAGGUGUGUAUGAAGGUAUAUCCUAUGAGGACAGGUGUGUAUGAAGGUAUAUCCUAUGAGGACAGGUGUGUAUAAAUGUAUAUCCUAUGAGGACAGGUGUGUAUGAAGGUAUAUCCUAUGAGGACAGGUGUGUAUGAAGGUAUAUCCUAUGAGGACAGGUGUGUAUGAAGGUAUAUCCUAUGAGGACAGGUGUGUAUAAAUGUAUAUCCUAUGAGGACAGGUGUGUAUGAAGGUAUAUCCUAUGAGGACAGGUGUGUAUGAAGGUAUAUCCUAUGAGGACAGGUGUGUAUGAAGGUAUAUCCUAUGAGGACAGGUGUGUAUGAAGGUAUAUCCUAUGAGGACAGGUGUGUAUGAAGGUAUAUCCUAUGAGGACAGGUGUGUAUAAAUGUAUAUCCUAUGAGGACAGGUGUGUAUGAAGGUAUAUCCUAUGAGGACAGGUGUGUAUGAAGGUAUAUCCUAUGAGGACAGGUGUGUAUGAAGGUAUAUCCUAUGAGGACAGGUGUGUAUAAAUGUAUAUCCUAUGAGGACAGGUGUGUAUGAAGGUGUAUCCUAUGAGGACAGGUGUGUAUAAAUGUAUAUCCUAUGAGGACAGGUGUGUAUGAAGGUAUAUCCUAUGAGGACAGGUGUGUAUAAAUGUAUAUCCUAUGAGGACAGGUGUGUAUGAAGGUAUAUCCUAUGAGGACAGGUGUGUAUAAAUGUAUAUCCUAUGAGGACAGGUGUGUAUGAAGGUGUAUCCUAUGAGGACAGGUGUGUAUAAAUGUAUAUCCUAUGAGGACAGGUGUGUAUAAAGGUAUAUCCUAUGAGGACAGGUGUGUAUAAAUGUAUAUCCUAUGAGGACAGGUGUGUAUGAAGGUAUAUCCUAUGAGGACAGGUGUGUAUAAAUGUAUAUCCUAUGAGGACAGGUGUGUAUGAAGGUGUAUCCUAUGAGGACAGGUGUGUAUAAAUGUAUAUCCUAUGAGGACAGGUGUGUAUGAAGGUAUAUCCUAUGAGGACAGGUGUGUAUAAAUGUAUAUCCUAUGAGGACAGGUGUGUAUGAAGGUAUAUCCUAUGAGGACAGGUGUGUAUAAAUGUAUAUCCUAUGAGGACAGGUGUGUAUGAAGGUGUAUCCUAUGAGGACAGGUGUGUAUAAAUGUAUAUCCUAUGAGGACAGGUGUGUAUAAAGGUAUAUCCUAUGAGGACAGGUGUGUAUAAAUGUAUAUCCUAUGAGGACAGGUGUGUAUGAAGGUAUAUCCUAUGAGGACAGGUGUGUAUAAAUGUAUAUCCUAUGAGGACAGGUGUGUAUAAAGGUAUAUCCUAUGAGGACAGGUGUGUAUGAAGGUGUAUCCUAUGAGGACAGGUGUGUAUAAAGGUAUAUCCUAUGAGGACAGGUGUGUAUGAAGGUAUAUCCUAUGAGGACAGGUGUGUAUAAAUGUAUAUCCUAUGAGGACAGGUGUGUAUGAAGGUAUAUCCUAUGAGGACAGG